rnacentral:rRNA from 2 species
GACGAACCGUGCGAACGUUGUUCGGAUUCACUGGGCUUAAAGGGCGCGUAGGCGGCUGCUCAAGUCGGGGGUGAAAUCUUUCAGCUCAACUGGAAAAUAGCCUCCGAUACUGGGUAGCUCGAGGGAGAUAGGGGCAUGCGGAACUUCCGGUGGAGCGGUGAAAUGCGUAGAUAUCGGAAGGAACGCCGGUGGCGAAAGCGGCGUGCUGGAUCUCUUCUGACGCUGAUGCGCGAAAGCCAGGGGAGCAAACGGG